rnacentral:tRNA from 1 species
UCCCUGGUGGCUCAGAGGUUAAAGCGUCUGCCUCCAACGUAGGAGACCCGGGUUCGAUCCUUGGGUUGGGAA